GGGUCCAUAGCUCAGCUGGUUAGAGCGUUCGGUUUACAUCCAAAGGGUGUCGUGGGUUCAAGCCCCACUGGACCCUCCA
rnacentral:tRNA from 1 species